rnacentral:misc_RNA from 1 species
GAUGAAGAACGUAGCGAAAUGCGAUAAGUAAUGUGAAUUGCAGAAUUCAGUGAAUCAUCGAACCUUUGAACGCACAUUGCGCCCGCCAGUAUUCUGGCGGGCAUGCCUGUCUGAGCGUCAUUUCAACCCUCAUGCCCCUAGGGCGUGGUGUUGGGGAUCGGCCAAAGCCCGCGAGGGACGGCCGGCCCCUAAAUCUAGUGGCGGACCCGUCGUGGCCUCCUCUGGGAAGUAGUGAUAUUCCGCAUCGGAGAGCGAUGAGCCCCUGCCGUUAAACCCCCAACUUUCCAAGGUUGACCUCAGAUCAGGUAGGAAUACCCGCUGAACUUAAGCAUAUCAAUAAGCGGAGGA